UGGGGAAUAUUGCACAAUGGGCGCAAGCCUGAUGCAGCGACGCCGCGUGGAGGAUGACGGCCUUCGGGUUGUAAACUCCUUUCAGCAGGGAAGAAGCGCAAGUGACGGUACCUGCAGAAGAAGCGCCGGCUAACUACGUGCCAGCAGCCGCGGUAAUACGUAGGGCGCAAGCGUUGUCCGGAAUUAUUGGGCGUAAAGAGCUCGUAGGCGGUGUGUCGCGUCUGCUGUGAAAACUCAAGGCUCAACCUUGGGCUUGCAGUGGGUACGGGCACACUAGAGUGCGGUAGGGGUGACUGGAAUUCCUGGUGUAGCGGUGGAAUGCGCAGAUAUCAGGAGGAACACCGAUGGCGAAGGCAGGUCACUGGGCCGCAACUGACGCUGAGGAGCGAAAGCAUGGGGA
rnacentral:rRNA from 1 species